rnacentral:misc_RNA from 1 species
GAUGAAGAACGUAGCGAAAUGCGAUAAGUAAUGUGAAUUGCAGAAUUCAGUGAAUCAUCGAAUCUUUGAACGCACAUUGCGCCCAUUAGUAUUCUAGUGGGCAUGCCUGUUCGAGCGUCAUUAAGUCCACUUAAGCCCUGCUUAGUGUUGGGAGACUGCUCCAGCGGUGCUACCCUGUAGCUACCCUGCAGCUCCUCAAAGACAGCGGCGGAGUUGUGGUAUCCUCUGAGCUUAGUAACUUGUUCUAGCUUUCGAGUANNNCACUUCCCCUGCCGUAAAACCCUUAAUUUUUAAUGGUUGACCUCGGAUCAGGUAGGAAUACCCGCUGAACUUAAGCAUAUCAAUAAGCGGAGGA